rnacentral:rRNA from 1 species
CCUUAGAGUUUGAUCCUGGCUCAGGACGAACGCUGGCGGCGUGCUUAACACAUGCAAGUCGAGCGGGGGAUAUUGAUUGGAAAGCUUCGGCCGGAAGAUUGAUAUUCUAGCGGCGGACGGGUGAGUAACGCGUGAACAAUCUGUCCCAGACAGGGGGAUAACAGAUGGAAACAUCUGCUAAUACCGCAUAAGACCACGUGGUCGCAUGGCCAAGGGGUAAAAGAUUUAUCGGUCUGGGGUGAGUUCGCGUCCGAUUAGCUAGUUGGUGAGGUAACGGCCCACCAAGGCGUCGAUCGGUAGCCGACCUGAGAGGGUGAUCGGCCACAUUGGAACUGAGACACGGUCCAAACUCCUACGGGAGGCAGCAGUGGGGAAUAUUGGGCAAUGGGCGAAAGCCUGACCCAGCAACGCCGCGUGAGGGAAGAAGGUUUUCGGAUUGUAAACCUCUGUCCUCAAGGACGAAGGAAGUGACGGUACUUGAGGAGGAAGCCCCGGCUAACUACGUGCCAGCAGCCGCGGUAAUACGUAGGGGGCGAGCGUUGUCCGGAAUGACUGGGCGUAAAGGGCGUGUAGGCGGCCGAUUAAGUCUGAAGUGAAAGUCCUGCUUUCAAGGUGGGAAUUGCUUUGGAGACUGGUUGGCUUGAGUGCGGAAGAGGUAAGUGGAAUUCCCAGUGUAGCGGUGAAAUGCGUAGAGAUUGGGAGGAACACCAGUGGCGAAGGCGACUUACUGGGCCGUAACUGACGCUGAGGCGCGAAAGCGUGGGGAGCGAACAGGAUUAGAUACCCUGGUAGUCCACGCUGUAAACGAUGAAU